rnacentral:tRNA from 1 species
GCCCGGGUGGCGGAAUCGGCCAGACGCGGAGGGCUUAAACCCCUCUGGUCCCAGUGACCAUGUGGGUUCGAAUCCCACCCCGGGCA